AUGAAAAUAUGCUUGAAAAGCACUCAAGUCCAUCAGAAGAUAUGUCUACACCAUCUUCAUCAUCCUGUCUUUAUCUUCCCUGCAGCUACUCCCAAAGCCCCAACUGUGUUCCCACUGUCUCCUUCUUGCCAAGACAUUUUCGCCACCUGCCAGGUUACCAUUGGUUGUCUCGUCGAUGACUACUUUCCCGAACCAGCCACGGUGCAAUGGAACUCAGGCGCCAUCACCAGCGGAAUCCUCCACUUCCCUCCAGUUUUUAAUUCGUCCAGCCAUUAUACCCACACCAGUCUGCUCACCAUCUCAAUCAACCAGUGGGAAUCGGAGUCAUUCCAGUGCAGCGUUCACCAUCCAGCCACCGACUCCAUAAUUAACACAAUCAUUAAGCAUGACAAUCACAUCUGCUGUGGGAUUAACAUCUAUCUUCUGCCCCCACGCCCAAAAGACUUGUACAUAAGCCAAAAUGGCAAGAUCACCUGUGUGGUUGUCAAUCUGCCAAAGGAAGAGGGGUUGAUAAUAAGCUGGUCACGGGAGAAGCAAGAAGCCAUGCAUCCUGAAUUAGUGGAGGUGACCAAAGAAAUGAAUGGAACCUUCACUGCUGUCAGCCACCUCCCUGUGUCUACUGCAGAUUGGGAAUCAGGAGAGCCUUUCACCUGUACAGUGAGAUAUACAGGUUUGCCCUGCCCCAUCGUUAAGACAAUUUCCAAGAUCAGAGAACACAGCAAGGAACCCAUCAUGCACAUCUACCCUCCCAUUGAAGUGAUGCACAACCCUGACAAUAAAAUGAUCCUAAGCUGCUUAGUUUAUGGGUACUCCCCAAUGAAUAUUGAUGUCCUGUGGGAAAGGAAUGGCAAUCCCAUUUCAGAAGAUAACUAUGUCAACACCCCAUCUAUGGAGGACAAAAGAGAUGAUUCCUUCUUCACGUAUAGCAAACUGGUUAUCUCCAAAUCAGACUGGGAAACUGGGAACCCAUUCAACUGUAUGGCUAUCCAUCAGGCCCUUGGGGAGAAGCUCAUACAGAGGAACAUAAUGAAAUCUCUGGGUAAACGUUGAAGACUCCUGUCAACAUGCAUUGUCUUCCUAGAGUUCUCUCUC